GGCCCGUUGGUCUAGGGGUAUGAUUCUCGCUUUGGGUUGCGAGAGGUCAGGGUUUCAAAUCCCGGACGGGCCC
rnacentral:tRNA from 1 species